rnacentral:rRNA from 1 species
UACGAGGGGGGCGAGCGUUGUUCGGAAUUAUUGGGCGUAAAGGGUGCGUAGGCGGUUUGGUAAGUCUGAUGUGAAAUCUAUGGGCUCAACUCAUAGUCUGCAUCGGAAACUGCCGGGCUUGAGUGUGGGAGAGGUGAGUGGAAUUCCUGGUGUAGCGGUGAAAUGCGUAGAUAUCUGGAGGAACACCAAAGGCGAAGGCAAUGUUCUGGCUCGUUUCUGACGCUCAGGUGCGAAAGCCAGGGGAGCGAACGGG